rnacentral:rRNA from 1 species
UACGUAGGGUGCAAGCGUUAAUCGGAAUUACUGGGCGUAAAGCGUGCGCAGGCGGUUGUGCAAGACAGAUGUGAAAUCCCCGGGCUCAACCUGGGAACUGCAUUUGUGACUGCACGGCUGGAGUGCGGCAGAGGGGGAUGGAAUUCCGCGUGUAGCAGUGAAAUGCGUAGAUAUGCGGAGGAACACCGAUGGCGAGGGCAAUCCCCUGGGCCUGCACUGACGCUCAUGCACGAAAGCGUGGGGAGCAAACAGG